GAAAGGUAUGCUAAUACGGGAUAAUAUAUUUGAGAGGCAUCUCUUAAAUAUCAAAGGUGAGCCAGUACAGGAUGGACCCGCGUCUGAUUAGCUAGUUGGUAAGGUAACGGCUUACCAAGGCGACGAUCAGUAGCCGACCUGAGAGGGUGAUCGGCCACAUCGGAACUGAGACACGGUCCAAACUCCUACGAGAGGCAGCAGUGGGGAAUAUUGCACAAUGGGCGAAAGCCUGAUGCAGCAACGCCGCGUGAGUGAUGAAGGCCUUCGGGUCGUAAAACUCUGUCCUCAAGGAAGAUAAUGACGGUACUUGAGGAGGAAGCCCCGGCUAACUACGUGCCAGCAGCCGCGGUAAUACGUAGGGGGCUAGCGUUAUCCGGAUUUACUGGGCGUAAAGGGUGCGUAGGCGGUCUUUCAAGUCAGGAGUGAAAGGCUACGGCUCAACCGUAGUAAGCUCUUGAAACUGGGAGACUUGAGUGCAGGAGAGGAGAGUGGAAUUCCUAGUGUAGCGGUGAAAUGCGUAGAUAUUAGGAGGAACACCAGUUGCGAAGGCGGCUCUCUGGACUGUAACUGGCGCUGAGGCACGAAAGCGUGGGGAGCAAACAGGAUUAGAUACCCUGGUAGUCC
rnacentral:rRNA from 1 species